GCGUCAUUUUGUUCUCUCUAGAAUUAUUGGAAAUUAAAGUUUUGGAGUAAUUUUUGUAAUAUAAUAAUACAAAAAAAAGCGCAAAAUGACAAUCGAGUUGUACAAAUUGCUCUCCAAGGGUUUAGUUGAGGAUGCAGAGUUAAUUGAUGGCUGUUAUGAUAACCCGGAGCUCCUGAAAAUGGUCGAUUAUAAUCCCAACCGGAAUCGUCAAUUUAUUCUGUUUUACCGGAAAUAGACCCAUAGGUGAUCGGCCAUUCAUCCAUCAUGGCAUCCGACAAGUCAUCUCCCGAGAACAGCUUUACCCCAACCCUUACCCUCUUCAGUCAGUAUGAUUUCUAGAGGACGCAACAACGAAGGAAAAGGGGAAGAUUGUGACACACUUUUACACCACCAGCGCUAAGCAAGGUCGUCGAUCACUCCGGGCUUGACUAUUGCAUAGCGAAUGGCAAUACUAGAUGCAUCCUAGUUUUUGCA